UUAACCUUUCCAUUUCAUUUCCCUUCUUUAUUUCUGAUUAAAAAGCCAGAAGAAGAAUUUGCAUCGCCUCUGUCGCUCCCACACCGUCAUCUCUGUGGCUCCAUCACCACCACCAUCUCGAUCGCCUCCACCACAACUAGCACCACCACCUCCAAAGUGAGAAAGGUGGUGAGUAUGGUGAGAACAAUGGAUACCAAGGAGGAGAUCGCAGUGGUGGUCGUGGUGGUGGAGGGAGACGGGGUUCUACAAAAGAGAAAAUAGAUAUGGAAAGGCCCCUUCUACAACAACAUUCGAGGGAUUUGUAAUUCACAUACAGUACUUCUAUGGUUCUGUUUCGCUGCUUCCACUGACUGCUGCAAGUGCUGCCUGCUCCAUGUCGUUCUUGGACUCUAGAUUUUGGGGACAAAAAAUUGCUUUCACUUUUGGAGGCAACUUGACUUGAGCUAGUUGAUUCCAGAUUCGGAGGCAACUUGAGCUAGUUGGCUCUGUUUUUUCUAUUAUUUCUUUUUGUUGAAUGAAGUAGCACGACUGAAUCCAUGUCAGAAGAUGUGUGUUCGACUCACGCCAGGUUCACUCAUUCGUGGAAAUAUACUGUCGAGUUUCAAAGGAAAAGGAUGUAAUCGUAAUUUUGCAAGAGGUGUGGUGGGUCUGGUAGGCUUACGAUUCGCAGUCGUUUAAUGCCGGAAAGCCGCAUUGGAUCAUCGUGCACCAAUAUUCCGAAGGCAGACGAAGGAUUUCAAACUUCUACAGGCUUAUGUUCCUAUGAAAUUUUCCAUUUUCCAGUUUGUUUGAACUUGUUUUAUAUUUUUUUAACUUGCUUUGCAAGUUUUUAUUUUGUGAACUUCUUUUUUGUUUUACCUGUUAUAUUGCAAUUGUUCCAAACAAUUUGUUGUUCUUGUAAUAGUGAAUUGUCUUUAUAUUUC